AAAAACGCCAUCGCCGUGUAAACGAAAGGCACAUCCGAUAAAAUAUUUUUACGUUUUCACCCGCGAGCGUUCUCGUGUUAACAGGGCCUAAGGACGGGAAUCCGAUUGAGGAACACCACAGAAAUGGCUCGGCUACGAUGUUCCGAUAAAGAAGUCACGCCGGGUGUUGAAUAUUGUCAGAUUCAGAUGCAUCAAUGAGAGUCAGUAAUGCAGUGGAUAACUAUGAGGAUGAUCACAUCCACAUGCCCCACAGCUGUGAUGCAGAAUCACAAUGGGAGGAUCAAUCUGUCUUUGGCCACAACCUGAUCUUCUCAGAGAGACUCUCCAGCGUCUUGAUGCUCUUUAGCGAAAGUAUGAGCAGCACAGACUAACGUUACAUGAAGAAUCUUACAA